UACGUAGGAGGCGAGCGUUGUCCGGAAUCACUGGGCGUAAAGCGCGUGUAGGCGGGAAGGCAAGUCUGCUGUGAAAGCGCCUGGCUUAACCGGGCGAGGUCGGCGGAAACUGCUUACCUGGAGGACGGUAGAGGGGGGUGGAAUUCCCGGUGUAGUGGUGAAAUGCGUAGAGAUCCGGAGGAACACCAGUGGCGAAGGCGACACGCUGGGCCGUACCUGACGCUAAAGCGCGACAGCAUGGGGAGCAAACGGG
rnacentral:rRNA from 1 species